AAUUACUAUUAAGGAUCUAUGACAUAAAAAAUUUAUAUAUAAAAUAUGAUAUAAAAUAAAAAACUACAUCGAUUACAUCGAUGCCCUAAAUCUGAUCUAACCUUUAGAUCAUAUUGGUUGAGUUCAAAACUCAUCAUCUUUUUAUAGAUAGGUGUGGUACGAAGCACUCAUUGAUGCUGAGUGGUCACACAAGUUGUUCGACCUCUAUAGAUCAUCCACUCGAAGC
rnacentral:lncRNA from 1 species